rnacentral:rRNA from 1 species
GACGAACCGAGCGAACGUUGUUCGGAAUCACUGGGCUUAAAGGGCGCGUAGGCGGGUGUGCAAGUCUGUGGUGAAAGCCUCCAGCUUAACUGGAGAAGUGCCGUGGAUACUGCACAUCUUGAGGAGGGUAGGGGCAUCUGGAACGGUCGGUGGAGCGGUGAAAUGCGUUGAUAUCGACCGGAACUCCGGUGGCGAAGGCGAGGUGCUGGACCCUUUCUGACGCUGAGGCGCGAAAGCCA